rnacentral:tRNA from 1 species
GGCGGAUGAGCCCAAGGGGUUAAGGGCGGG